UGGGGAAUAUUGGACAAUGGGGGAAACCCUGAUCCAGCAAUGCCGCGUGAGUGAAGAAGGCCUUAGGGUUGUAAAGCUCUUUCGCCCGCGAAGAUAAUGACGGUAGCGGGAGAAGAAGCCCCGGCUAACUCCGUGCCAGCAGCCGCGGUAAUACGGAGGGGGCUAGCGUUGUUCGGAAUUACUGGGCGUAAAGCGUACGUAGGCGGAUGCGCAAGUUGGGGGUGAAAUCCCGGGGCUUAACCUCGGAAUUGCCCUCAAAACUGCACGUCUUGACACCGAGAGAGGUAAGGGGAAUUCCUAGUGUAGAGGUGAAAUUCGUAGAUAUUAGGAAGAACACCAGUGGCGAAGGCGCCUUACUGGCUCGGUACUGACGCUGAGGUACGAAAGCGUGGGGAGCAAACA
rnacentral:rRNA from 1 species